GAUCAUGGCUCAGGAUGAACGCUAGCUACAGGCUUAACACAUGCAAGUCGAACGAAAAGACGGAAAGAGCUUGCUCUUUUCAGAAUUGAGUGGCAAACGGGUGAGUAACACGUAAACAACCUGCCUUCAGGAUGGGGACAACAGACGGAAACGACUGCUAAUACCGAAUAAGUUCCAAGAGCCGCAUGGCCCAUGGAAGAAAAGGUGGCCUCUACCUGUAAGCUAUCGCCUGAAGAGGGGUUUGCGU
rnacentral:rRNA from 1 species